rnacentral:misc_RNA from 1 species
AGCAGCCGCGGUAAUUCCAGCUCCAAUAGCGUAUAUUAAAGUUGCUGCAGUUAAAAGCUCGUAGUUGAGUUUCGGGAUCAAUAUGUUGGUCGUGCCUUGGUACGUACUAGCUCAUUGGUUUCUCCCUUCUGACGAACCAUGAUGUCAUUAAUUUGAUGUCAUGGGGAAUCAGGACUGUUACUUUGAAAAAUUGAGUGUUUAAAGCAGGCUCGCGCUUGAAUACAUUAGCAUGGAAUAAUGAAAUAGGACAUUUGAUUCUAUUUUGUUGGUUUCUAGGAUCGAUGUAAUGAUUAAUAGGGAUAGUUGGGGGCAUUAGUAUUCAAUUGUCAGAGGUGAAAUUCUUGGAUUUAUGAAGACUAACUACUGCGAAAGCAUUUGCCAAGGAUGUU